rnacentral:rRNA from 1 species
GAUGAACGCUAGCGGGAGGCCUAACACAUGCAAGCCGAGCGGUACUGUUUCUUCGGAAAUGAGAGAGCGGCGUACGGGUGCGGAAACACGUGUGUAACCUGCCUUUAUCUGGGGGAUAGCCUUUCGAAAGGAAGAUUAAUACUCCAUAAUAUAUUGAACGGCAUCGUUUAAUAUUGAAAGCUCCGGCGGAUAGAGAUGGGCACGCGCAAGAUUAGCUAGUUGGUGAGGUAACGGCUCACCAAGGCGAUGAUCUUUAGGGGCCUGAGAGGGUGAUCCCCCACACUGGUACUGAGACACGGACCAGACUCCUACGGGA